AAUAAAAGGAUGUGGGAGUUUGAGACCCAUCUCUGCUGUGUGGCCCUGGCCAUGUGCAGUGGGUAAGUACAUCAGCAAGAAAUCUGGCCUCAAGAAUCCCACCCUAUCCUGGGCAUCUGGGGUUGAGGCUGGCUGUGCCAACCUUUACACAGGGUUUCAAUCUGACCUCAAGCAGAAAACGGAGCCACCUGCUUAGAGUCCCUCUCUCUGAACACGCUCUCCCCUCUGGAGGAAAAGCAUCGCAAUCCCAAGCUCCUGCUGCUGCCGUACAUCUGCAUCUUAUUCAUCUUUGUAGCUCCUACAAUGCCUCCAACGGGGCCACAACUAAAGGAAGUGCUCAGAAUGCCCAGCUAUCCCCACUGCAGAAGGCGCUCCCUGGAAGGGCACAGGUGGAGGAUGUUCGCGUUUAUCUGGAGAUAGUUCAUGGAGAAACACAAAGAGGUGUCCUGACAAGACAACAGGUCCACAGCAGUCGUCAUAAUGAGCGCUCACCUAUGCCAGGGAUCAUCUUUUCAAAUCCUUAACCAAGCAACCAAACUGUGGUUGGGAUUAUUCUCUUUUUAUAGGUGAGAAAACUGAGGCCGAAAGCGACUGGGUUGUUUGCCAAAGUUGGGAAGUAGCUGAGCUGGGGUUUGUACUCACGCCGUGGUGACUCGGAAGCCCAAGCCCGUUCUGACACACUGCCUUCCCGUGACAUUCCCACGACGGGUUCCCGAGGUCGUUGGAAUGCUUACACAUUUCAGCAACUUCGUGGCAACUGCCCAGCUCAACCCAGAAGAUAAUACUACCUUGUACUCCCCCUGCCGCUUCCUUCCGCCAGGCAGCCCACAGACAUGACCUCAUUCCCUUUCCCAGAGUCCCAUAGGGGUGAAGGACGGGGUGGGGAUCGUUCACUCUGCUACUAGGGAAGGAAGGGAGGCUCAGAGAGGGACGCUGGCCCACCCUGGGUCAUCCAGCCAGCAAGUGGGAGAGCUGCAACUGGAAAUCAGGCUUCCCUGCCCUGGGGGACAGUUAUUUAGCCUGCUGGAUGUGAGCUAGAAUCACCCCUGAGAUGCAGCAAUUGGGGUACUCCUCUUGGGGUACUGGGACUCAGUGGCUGAAACAACUCCAAGAGAGUUGGGCCUCUGCUGAAAACAGAAAUCUGAGAUGCAUAUAAAUUCAAUCCGUAUGAAAAGAGCAGGGUGGCCUGGGAGGAGCGGCCACCACAGUGGCUCCGCCUUCUGCCCAGCCGCCCGCAGCCCUGCCUGGGUUGCUCUUGGUCUCUCUGUGCCCAGCUUCUCUGGCCAGAUGCCCUGGGGGCCAGAGCAGCCGCCAUGUGAUGGAAAGAACAUUGGCCUUGAGGUCAUGGGACCUGGGGGGGAUAUUCACCAGGGGCCCCUAAGUUAGUCAUGUUAGCUCUCAGCUUUUCCAUUUUUCAUUCAAAAAAUGGGGACUCUAACUCCGUGAAAGAGACAUUGUGUGUGAAAUAUUUCAUCAUAAGCCGUGAAGCCUGCAAGGAGAGAAACUCCUGGUGUUCUCUGUAGCCUGAUUUCAUCUCUACUAAACACUAUUUUG